GAUGCCGGCCGAGCUUCCGGGCGCUUGGGUUUCCAUUACUCCGAACGAACUGAUGGAAGCUGUUGCAUCCCACACGUAAAGGAUGCGACGGUGAAUAAUAUGGCCCAGGCCCUCGGGACACUUGUUGGCUCCUAAAGGAGCUGAACCUACUAUCUUAGCUUGUACCACCUGGACUUGUAUGAAGAAGGUCAUAGCUCUUGAAAUACACUGUGCUUUGGAGAGACCCAAAAGCGGUAGUCCUGAAAUCAAUCUAGUGUCUCCUAGCCUUAGAAAUGACUGGGGAGGGGCUCCAGCGUGGUUCAGUCGGUUAAGCGUCAGACUUCGGCUCAGAUGAUAAGAACAGGGAUGCAGAGUUCAGAGUUGACUCCAAAGAAGGAAAUUUCUAAAAGGUCAGAAUCAUCGAAUGGGACAUCAGGAGGAUCCUGUGUGGUGGUUCCUGAAGGAUCAGAAGCUAUAGGCCUGUAAAGAUACUUCAGAGGAACUAAAAGGCCAACCCUCACAUGGAGAAGCAGAAGCUGAAAGACAGCAAGGAAGUCUUAUGGAUCCUCCCAGGGUGGGUAAGUGUUGCAUCCACACAAGUCCUGAAACAGAAUGCUACGGCACCAGUGACAGUCACAGCAAAGUUUAUUGCAACGAAAGGCAAGGCCGACCAAUCGGGCCGACGCUCUUGAUCAGAGUGUGGCCUCGAACAGCUGGGUACGGAGUUUUUAUAGUCGACCACAUCAUCUUGUCAUCACCUGGGAAUAGAACAAAGAAACAGUUCCCAGAUGGGGAUGGAAACAGUUCUGCCACCGCAACCAGUUGACCUCCUUGACCCUGCCUCUGGUGCCACUUUUAAAACAAAGCUGUUAUCUCUUAGCCUACAGUGUCAAAACAAAGCUGUUAUUUCUCAAGGCUACAGGUUAGCCCUACACUACAAUUUUGCCCUUACAGUGAGUACAUCUUAAAUGAAAAAUUCACUCUGAACAUUGCAGUCUCUCUAAGCCUUUAAAUUCCUUUCCUCUAGUGGCACCUCAGUCAGUUAAGUAUCCAACUCGUUUUUGUUUUGUUUUGUUGUUUUGGGUUU